rnacentral:rRNA from 1 species
CCUACGGGUGGCAGCAGUGAGGAAUAUUGGUCAAUGGCCGGAAGGCUGAACCAGCCAAGCCGCGUGAGGGAGGAAGGCGCAGAGCGUCGCAGACCUCUUUUGCCGGGGGACAAAAGGCCGGACGGGUCCGGUUCUGAGGGUACCCGGAGAAAAAGCAUCGGCUAACUACGUGCCAGCAGCCGCGGUAAUACGUAGGGGGCAAGCGUUAUCCGGAUUUACUGGGGGUAAAGGGAGCGUAGACGGCGAUGCAAGUCUGAAGUGAAAGGCGGGGGCCCAACCCCCGGACUGCUUUGGAAACUGUCUGGCUGGAGUGCAGGAGAGGUAAGUGGAAUUC